UACGUAGGGGGCUAGCGUUGUCCGGAAUCAUUGGGCGUAAAGCGCGUGUAGGCGGUUCGGUAAGUCCGCUGUGAAAGUCGGGGGCUCAACCCUCGAAUGCCGGUGGAUACUGUCGAACUAGAGUGCGGAAGAGGCGAGUGGAAUUCCUGGUGUAGCGGUGAAAUGCGCAGAUAUCGGGAGGAACACCAAUUGCGAAGGCAGCUCGCUGGGACGUUACUGACGCUGAGACGCGAAAGCGUGGGGAGCAAACAGG
rnacentral:rRNA from 1 species